rnacentral:rRNA from 1 species
UGCAUCGUGAAAAACGCAGCAAAAUGCGAUAAGUAAUGUGAAUUGCAGAAUUCAGUGAAUCAUCGAAUCUUUGAACGCACAUUGCGCCCGCCAGUAUUCUGGCGGGCAUGCCUGUUCGAGCGUCAUUU